rnacentral:misc_RNA from 1 species
UUAGAUUCUGUUGAGUUGAAUCAGUCUAUUUUUGAGCUUUUACUGCGUUUUUGAGUUUCUGGGUGUUGAAGCAAAUUGCCGAUAUAAGCUUUUCAAAUCUGUCUGCAUUCUGAACUUCUGUUUCUAAACGUCUGGGUGUCGAAGCUACUUGUUGAUAUUAGCUUUUGCAAGUUCAAUCACUUCCUGAGUAUUGAAGUUAAUUGUAGAUUUUAGAUUCUGCCAAGUGCAAUCUUCUGUUGUAACUUCUUUUUGUUCUUGA